rnacentral:rRNA from 1 species
UAGACCUCCCACCCUGUGUCGUUAUACCUUCGUUGCUUUGGCGGGCCGCGGGGCCCCGGCCCCGCCCCUGGCUCCGGCUAGGGCGCGCCCGCCAGAGGACCUCAAAACCUGAAUGUUAGUGUCGUCUGAGUACUAUAUAAUAGUUAAAACUUUCAACAACGGAUCUCUUGGUUCUGGCAUCGAUGAAGAACGCAGCGAAAUGCGAUAAGUAAUGUGAAUUGCAGAAUUCAGUGAAUCAUCGAAUCUUUGAACGCACAUUGCGCCCCUUGGUAUUCCGGGGGGCAUGCCUGUUCGAGCGUCAUUACAACCCUCAAGCUCUGCUUGGUCUUGGGCGUCACCGGUCCCGGUGUGCCUUAAAAUCAGUGGCGGCGCCAUCUGGCUCUAAGCGUAGUACAUACUCUCGCUACAGACGUCCGGUGGAUGCUGGCCAGCAACCCCCAACUUAUCAAGGUUGACCUCGGAUCAGGUAGGGAUACCCGCUGAACUUAAGCAUAUCAAUAA